GGAGCGGUAGUUCAGUUGGUUAGAAUACCGGCCUGUCACGUCGCGGGUUCGAGUCCCGUCCGCUCCGUCA
rnacentral:tRNA from 1 species